rnacentral:misc_RNA from 1 species
UGGCGUAAGCGUUCAGUAGACGCAGUGCAACAAAACCGUAUGCUUGAUAGUAUUUUGAGUUUCCAUACGGUUCUGAUCUGGCAUAUUGAGCUACAUAGUUCAGAAUUUAAAGUAGGCUGAUAUAAAGGCUACUUGAACAAUAACUUCAUGGCUCUUCUAUUUAAGUAAUUAAUUCUAACAGAGCUAUAUUAGUGCUAUUCACACUCUGAUGAUGACCACUCAUAUUGGAACACACAGGGUGUCUUCCAUACUAAUUACCUUUGUGUGAAAUAGCAGGUAUUGUCAGUUUCAUCUUGAAUAAUUGAACGACACAGGUUCCAGGAAUAAGGAAGGCAGAACAGCACCUGACUCCGUUCCCGACUGACUCAUCAUGACCUCUGACUGCUGGUUUGAGAACGUAUAGUUUAACAACUGGCCAGGCUGCAGAACGAGAUUGCUCCAGAUCAAGACUGUCCGUGUUUCUUCACUGAUAAAAGACUAAACGAACAGGCGCGAAAUGAUUUGAAAACAAACUGGCAACUGUCUUACCUUCGACGUCUGCUCGAGAUUAGAGAAUCCCGACGAAUACUUCAUCCUAUUAAAGAGCAAGACUUCCUCACAGAUAUGAAUAUUUUUAUGGUAUCAGUAAAGUGGUUAAGUACUGGCUGAAAAACAAGGAAAGUGAUGUCAGUAUGGUCGAGAAGAUUAGAACUAAGGACUCGUUGAUAAAUACGAUACAAACGCCAAAAAUUACAUUUGAAUAAUCUAUAUAUAAUCAUUAUCUGUCUGAGUUCUCCACUUGCGAGCAGACGAAAUAUAGUAUAAACUAAAGCAUUGGCUAAGAACCAAAUUAAUAAAAUUACAAGAAGAUGAUAAGCUAAUGGUUAAUAACAUGCUUCAGAUUGGCAGUAAUGAGAUUUAUAGGUUGUUUUUUUUUUACUGUGAUACAUUUGUGAAUUCCAUGUGCAACAUCACAUUCUCUGCAUGCACGAGUAGUACAUGAUGUAUUUCCGAGUAUUUUGGGGGUGUGUCAUUUUAGCCACCUAGUGGUGAAAAAUAGUACUUCUUUGCAGAACAAGUAUGUAGAAACUUCUGCACAACAAAUGACUACUUACCAUGAAAACUUACACUCUUACGUUCAAGAUGUAUAUAUAAAUAUAUAUAAUUUUAAAAGUAGGUUUUAAUAUACAUGAAACUUGAUCUUGUGACUAUACCGCACCCCAGUAGCUCAGCGGUAAUUUGUCAGGCUUACAGUUCUAAAAAUGAGAUUUAGAUACCUAUGAUGAGCAGAGCACAGAUUGUUUAUUUUUGUAGCUUUGUGCUUGACAAGAAUCAAAGCAAACCUAGUUGUGAUUACAUCCUAAUCAAAUUUUUUAAAGUUUUUGA